rnacentral:rRNA from 1 species
GAUGAACGCUGGCGGCGUGCCUAAUACAUGCAAGUCGAGCGAACAGACGAGGAGCUUGCUCCUCUGACGUUAGCGGCGGACGGGUGAGUAACACGUGGAUAACCUACCUAUAAGACUGGGAUAACUUCGGGAAACCGGAGCUAAUACCGGAUAAUAUAUUGAACCGCAUUGUUCAAUAGUGAAAGACGGUUUUGCUGUCACUUAUAGAUGGAUCCGCGCCGCAUUAGCUAGUUGGUAAGGUAACCGCUUACCAAGGCAACGAUGAGUAGCCGACCUGAGAGGGGGAUCGGCCACACUGGAACUGAGACACGGUACAGACUCCGACGGGAGGCAGCAGUAGGGAAUCUUCCGCAAUGGGCGAAAGCCUGACGGAGCAACGCCGCGUGAGUGAUGAAGGUCUUCGGAUCGUAAAACUCUGUUAGUAGGGAAGAACAAAUGUGUAAGUAACUAUGCACGUCUGGACGGUACCUAAUCAGAAAGCCACGGCUAGCUACGUG